rnacentral:rRNA from 1 species
GAUGAACGCUGGCGGCGUGCCUAAUACAUGCAAGUCGAGCGGACGGACGAGAAGCUUGCUUCUCUGAUGUUAGCGGCGGACGGGUGAGUAACACGUGGAUAACCUAUCUAUAAGACUGGGAUAACUUCGGGAACCCGGAGCUAAUACCGGAUAAUAUUUUGAACCGCAUGGUUCAAAAGUGAAAGACGGUCUUGCUGUCACUUAUAGAUGGAUCCGCGCUGCAUUAGCUAGUUGGUAAGGUAACGGCUUACCAAGGCAACGAUGCAUAGCCGACCUGAGAGGGUGAUCGGCCACACUGGAACUGAGACACGGUCCAGACUCCUACGGGAGGCAGCAGUAGGGAAUCUUCCGCAAUGGGCGAAAGCCUGACGGAGCAACGCCGCGUGAGUGAUGAAGGUCUUCGGAUCGUAAAGCUCUGUUAGUAGGGAGGAACAGAAGUGUGAGUAACUGUGCACAUCUUGACGGUACCUAAUCAGAAAGCCACGGCUAACUACGUG